rnacentral:lncRNA from 1 species
AAUAACGGUAGGAGGGGUCAGAGGCAGCCCCAGGUUGAGGCUGUUAAUCAGGGUGGAAACGAUGGGAACCAGGGUAAUGCAACAAUAACCCCAGCUAUGGUGGCAGCAAUGGUGAAUGAGGCAGUUACGCAGGCCGUGGCGCAGGCUAUGCAGGGUAUUCCGCAGAUGCAAGGAAAUCAGUAUGCAAACGGCAUGGGGGAUGAUGCAGAGAUACCACAACAUGAGCAUAAUGUUCCUCCCGAGGAUCAAGUGGGUCAGCCAGUGCAGCCAUUAUAAGUGUUGUUGGAGAGGUUCAUUAAGCAGAAGCCCAACUCUUUUCGUUUUGCUCCGACUCCAAUUGAUGCGGAGAACUGGAUCGCCCACUUGGAGAAGAUUUUUGAUGUUAUUGGGUGUACCGAAAAUCAGAAGGUGAGAUUAGCAGUAUAUAAGCUAGAGGAUGAUGCUCAGCGAUGGUGGAAAUCGUUGAAGGCUAC